UGAGGAACAUGACCUUCGGCGGGGGAUAGCCGGCCCAACGGCCGGGUAAUACCGCGUACGACCACUUUGGGACAUCCCUCGGUGGUGAAAGCAGCAAUGCGCCGAUGGAGUGCCUCGCGGCCUAUCAGCUAGUUGGUGAGGUAACGGCUCACCAAGGCGAUGACGGGUAGCCGGCCUGAGAGGGUGACCGGCCACACUGGGACUGAGACACGGCCCAGACUCCGUACGGGAGGCAG
rnacentral:rRNA from 1 species